rnacentral:rRNA from 1 species
GUUUGAUCCUGGCUCAGAUUGAACGCUGGCGGAAUGCUUUACACAUGCAAGUCGAACGGCAGCACGGGGCAACCUGGUGGCGAGUGGCGAACGGGUGAGUAAUACAUCGGAACGUGCCCAGUCGUGGGGGAUAACGUAGCGAAAGUUACGCUAAUACCGCAUACGAUCUAUGGAUGAAAGCGGGGGAUCGCAAGACCUCGCGCGAUUGGAGCGGCCGAUGUCAGAUUAGGUAGUUGGUGGGGUAAAGGCCUACCAAGCCGACGAUCUGUAGCUGGUCUGAGAGGACGACCAGCCACACUGGGACUGAGACACGGCCCAGACUCCUACGGGAGGCAGCAGUGGGGAAUUUUGGACAAUGGGCGCAAGCCUGAUCCAGCCAUUCCGCGUGCAGGAUGAAGGCCUCGG